rnacentral:misc_RNA from 1 species
AUUUAAACUCCCUAAUCAGCGGUUUUCGUUUGCUGUGGACAUUCCUAGUGGCCCAGGUGUGGAAUCAGCUGAUAACAGACCUGUCCAGGUAGGCUAAGUUUGUCCUUUAUUAACAGAAUCAUAUCCUUUGCAAAAAUGAUACAAUGCAGAAAACGAUUUCGUCCAAAUUAACUUGCGUUGUUUUAUUACAUUGGGUAUAUGAUGGGUGUUUAGUAUUACGGACAAGUAAAUGUGUCAUACAAAAUUUAAUCUAUCUGCAGUUUAAAAACAUUGUCACACUCCAAUAAAAAUUUACAGUUGACGUCCUUAUUCAGUGAAACAUUUAUGGGUAAACAUCUCUGUUCCCCCUGAGCAAGAACCACACAACACAAAAGGGAUAUCACGUACAACAUCGAAAGCUGGAUAUCUUUGCAUGAAUGUUCCAUUUUUCAUGUAUUUGAAUAUCACGCACGAAGUCAAAAACUGUGUUCUUUUAUGUGCAUACAUUCUAUUGCAUUUCUUCCGUUAGCGAUGUAUAUAAGGGGCAAUGGAUGAGGAGUAUACACCCCAAAUACGCCCCACCCACCGGCUUGAGCUCCGUGUGAGAGGGUUGGUCAGCAAUAUCAGAGAGGGUCCAUACAUCACCCACAACUACAUCGCAAGUCAUGUCCAGUUCCUGAAGAAGGUGAACGAAGGGAGAGGUCGGCAAUACAAUGUGUGGAGGAUCCUCCCCGUCGGGGGCAAGUUCAACUCCCGGGGGGAUGUCCUGGCCCUGCUCGUCUGGUACUUGAUGCUGGUAUAUGCCGCGGUUGCUAUCCCUCUUGCCUGUUUCUGUGAGGUGACUUCCAUCAAUGUCGCUAACCUGAUCGUUCUCGCCAUCAUGUGUGUGUAUCACCUCACGGCCAUCUAUCUCGUCAUCUCCAACAUGAAGAAGCUUAAAGCCCUGUGGUGCACCACUCUGACGACAGCAGACAAAUACAUUGGACUACAGAAUUAUUUUAUAGACAUUACUGCAGACAAUGCGAAAGAAAUACACUGUGUUACUGCCAGUCAGAAGACGAAAAUUGUACAGAACAUGACCAACCACAGAAACUCACACCUGAACUCUGGUCUUUGCAGUGAACCAGGUGGUGCUGAUGUUGAUGACGGCCUCCUAUCUCCGGGGCCGUCGGCGGGACCCCAUCAUCUGUCUGUCCGUGCUGGCGGUGUUGUGUCUGGUGGGACUGGUGGUACAGCUGGAGACCAUGAGGGUUGUACUUCACGACCACUGAUAAAUUCAGGGGCAAAAGUUACUGACCCAGGGGCAAAACGUUCCGACCCGGGGGCAAAAAAUACUGACCCAGGGACAAAACGUACGGACCCAGGGGCAAAAAGUACCGACCUGGGGACAGAAAGUACUGAUCAAGGGACAAAAAGUACUGAAUCAGGGACAGUGCCAUGUCAUAUCUGUGACCAUUGAUACAGAGACAGAAAGUACUGACCCAUAUCUUUGACCACUGAUACACACAGUGACAAAAAGUACUUACCCAUACUUGUUAUAAUUACAGUGACAGAAAGUACUGCCCCAUAUCUGUGCUAACUCAUUAAUUCCUCAUCUUUUACUGACUCUUGGAACUAUAGAUCUCAGAUCAUUAGUCCAUACUAAAAAGCUGCUGAUAAUUGUUUUAUUGCAUCAUCAUCAUCAUCAUCAUCAUCAUCAUCAUUUUAAUGUGAAUAUUGUGUAUUGUGACAUGUAUCAAUUGUUUAAGAUAUAUAAUUUUAGAACUCUAUGUGACAUUUAUUGGAAAAUAAACUUCCAAGUAUA